GCCUCUAUGGUGAAAUUGGUAGACGCGCUGGACUCAAAAUCCAGUAGUAGCAAUACUGUGUCGGUCCGAGUCCGACUAGAGGCACCA
rnacentral:tRNA from 1 species